AUGAGCCAAGGAGAGAAUGUGGAGCAGCGUCCUUCUACCUUGAGUGCCCAGGAGGGAGACAGAGCUGUUAUCAACUGUACUUAUUCAGACAGUGCCUCAUCCUACUUUCCUUGGUAUAAGCAAGGACUUGGAAAAGGUCCUCAGCUUAUUAUAGACAUUCGUUCAAGUAUGGACAAAAAGUCAGACCACAGACUAACUGUUUUAUUGAAUAAGAAGGACAAACAUCUCUCCCUGCACAUUGCAGCCACCCAACCUGGAGACUCAGCUGUCUACUUCUGUGCAGCAAGCCCACAUUGCUUCCCGGGCACCUGCAACCUGUACCCAAACCUGCGACUGGGGCUGAUGCUGCAUCCCCUUUCCUUUGGAACAGACCUUCAAGUAUAG